rnacentral:rRNA from 1 species
AACGAACGCUGGCGGCAGGCCUAACACAUGCAAGUCGAGCGCUCACCUUCGGGUGGGAGCGGCGCACGGGUGAGUAACACGUGGGAACCUACCUUGAAGUACGGAAUAACUGAGGGAAACUUCAGCUAAUACCGUAUACGCCCUACGGGGGAAAGAUUUAUCGCUUCAAGACGGGCCCGCGUUGGAUUAGCUAGUUGGUGAGGUAACGGCUCACCAAGGCAACGAUCCAUAGCUGAUUUGAGAGAAUGAUCAGCCACACUGGGACUGAGACACGGCCCAGACUCCUACGGGAGGCAGCAGUGGGGAAUAUUGGACAAUGGGCGCAAGCCUGAUCCAGCCAUGCCGCGUGAGUGAUGAAGGCCUUCGGGUUGUAAAGCUCUUUCAGAUGGGACGAUGAUGACGGUACCAUCAGAAGAAGCCCCGGCUAACUUCGUGCCAGCCGCCGCGGUAAGAC